rnacentral:rRNA from 1 species
ACUCCUACGGGAGGCAGCAGUAGGGAAUCUUCCACAAUGGGCGCAAGCCUGAUGGAGCAACACCGCGUGAGUGAAGAAGGGUUUCGGCUCGUAAAGCUCUGUUGUUAAAGAAGAACACGUAUGAGAGUAACUGUUCAUACGUUGACGGUAUUUAACCAGAAAGUCACGGCUAACUACGUGCCAGCAGCCGCGGUAAUACGUAGGUGGCAAGCGUUAUCCGGAUUUAUUGGGCGUAAAGAGAGUGCAGGCGGUUUUCUAAGUCUGAUGUGAAAGCCUUCGGCUUAACCGGAGAAGUGCAUCGGAAACUGGAUAACUUGAGUGCAGAAGAGGGUAGUGGAACUCCAUGUGUAGCGGUGGAAUGCGUAGAUAUAUGGAAGAACACCAGUGGCGAAGGCGGCUACCUGGUCUGCAACUGACGCUGAGACUCGAAAGCAUGGGUAGCGAACAGGAUUAGAUACCCUGGUAGGAUAGCGUAGUCGUAGGAACAAGGCACACA